rnacentral:misc_RNA from 1 species
GAUGAAGAACGUAGCGAAAUGCGAUAAGUAGUGUGAAUUGCAGAAUUCAGUGAAUCAUCGAAUCUUUGAACGCACAUUGCGCCCCUUGGUAUUCCAUGGGGCAUGCCUGUUCGAGCGUCAUUUGUACCUUCAAGCUCUGCUUGGUGUUGGGUGUUUGUCUCGCCUCUGCGUGUAGACUCGCCUCAAAACAAUUGGCAGCCGGCGUAUGGAUUUCGGAGCGCAGUACAUCUCGCGCUUUGCACUCAUAACGACGACGUCCAAAAGUACAUUUUUACACUCUUGACCUCGGAUCAGGUAGGGAUACCCGCUGAACUUAAGCAUAUCAAUAAGCGGAGGA